rnacentral:tRNA from 1 species
GGAGAGAUGGCUGAGUGGUCGAAAGCAACGGUUUGCUAAAUCGUCGAAGGUGUCACAGCCUUCCGGGGGUUCGAAUCCCCCUCUCUCCGCCA